rnacentral:rRNA from 1 species
GGGGGAUAUUGCACAAUGGAGGAAACUCUGAUGCAGCAAUGCCGCGUGAGGGAAGACGGUCUUCGGAUUGUAAACCUCUGUCCUUGGUGAAGAUAAUGACGGUAGCCAAGGAGGAAGCUCCGGCUAACUACGUGCCAGCAGCCGCGGUAAUACGUAGGGAGCAAGCGUUGUCCGGAUUUACUGGGUGUAAAGGGUGCGUAGGCGGCUCUUUAAGUCGGGCGUGAAAGCUGUGGGCUUAACCCACAAAUUGCGUUCGAAACUGGAGGGCUUGAGUGAAGUAGAGGUAGGCGGAAUUCCCGGUGUAGCGGUGAAAUGCGUAGAGAUCGGGAGGAACACCAGUGGCGAAGGCGGCCUACUGGGCUUUAACUGACGCUGAGGCACGAAAGCAUGGGUAGCAAAC